rfam:Pseudomonadales bacterium RIFCSPHIGHO2_02_FTLL_60_43 rifcsphigho2_02_scaffold_6144, whole genome shotgun sequence.
CACCAUACAAGUUGGCACAGGGUCUGCAUUGGUAAUUGGACAAUUUAAUAAAGCGCGGCCUCAACGAAGAAGGUUGCACUUCCCGAUAGAACGGGACUUGGACAAAGGCGUCCUCGCUAGGUGACUAGCGGGACGCC